GCUGCGGGUGCCCGCGGAUGUCCCAGCGCCGGCUGUGCUCGUAGGGAGGUGCCCGCGGGGAUGUCCUGGGGGCCACCGAGGAUUCGUGCUCAGGGGGGUGACCUCAAACCCGGUGUGUGCUCCUAUGGGCACCUGGGGCAGUGUCCCAGUACCCAGUGUGGGUAUCCAGUGCAGUGUCCCAGUACCCACCCUGUGCUCAUACAGGUGCCCAGUGCAGUGUCCCAGUACCCACCCUGUGCUCAUACAGGUGCCCCAGUACCCAGUGCUCACUGUGAGUAUCCAGUGCAGUGUCCCAGUACCCACCGUGCCCAUACAGCUAUCCAGUGCAGUAUCCUGAUACCCAGUAUGUGCUGUGGGUGCCCAGUGCAGUGUCCCAGUACCCACCCUGUGCUCAUACAGGUGCCCAGUGCAGUGUCCCAGUACCCAGUGCUCACUGUGAGUAUCCAGUGCAGUGUCCCAGUACCCACGGUGCCCAUACAGCUAUCCAGUGCAG